UAAGAAAUUUUCAUCCGUCUAGUUACUAUGAACCUAGAAGGAUGCAUAACCCAAAUGUGACUUGUCAUUAUUGUAGACGUAUUGGUCAUAUUCCUCCUGCAUGCUUUACACGUCAUAGACAUAUUACUCAAUCGCAUCAUUAUAAUAUGACUAAUCCCCAAGGACCCAAGACGGCAUGGGUACCUAAAGAACAUUAAUUUGUUUUGUAGGUG
rnacentral:lncRNA from 1 species